rnacentral:rRNA from 1 species
CAAGCGGUGGAGCAUGUGGUUCAAUUCGACGCAACGCGAAGAACCUUACCUAGGCUCGAAAUGCUCCGGACCAUCCCUGGAAACAGGGACUUCCCGCAAGGGACCGGAGUAUAGGUGCUGCAUGGCUGUCGUCAGCUCGUGUCGUGAGAUGUUGGGUUAAGUCCCGCAACGAGCGCAACCCUUGUCCUGUGUUGCCAUACCGAAAGGUGGAACUCGCAGGAGACCGCCGGGGAUAACCUGGAGGAAGGUGGGGAUGACGUCAAGUCCUCAUGGCCUUUAUGUCUAGGGCUACACACGUGCUACAAUGGACGGUACAAAGGGUCGCCAACCCGCGAGGGGGAGCCAAUCCCAAAAAACCGUUCUCAGUUCGGAUUGCAGGCUGCAACUCGCCUGCAUGAAGCUGGAAUCGCUAGUAAUGCCGGAUCAAAACGCUGGCGUGAAUACUUUCCCGGGCCUUGUACACACC